UACCUGCGGAGGGAUCAUUACCGAGUUUACAACUCCCAAACCCCUGUGAACAUACCACUUGUUGCCUCGGCGGAUCAGCCCGCUCCCGGUAAAACGGGACGGCCCGCCAGAGGACCCCUAAACUCUGUUUCUAUAUGUAACUUCUGAGUAAAACCAUAAAUAAAUCAAAACUUUCAACAACGGAUCUCUUGGUUCUGGCAUCGAUGAAGAACGCAGCAAAAUGCGAUAAGUAAUGUGAAUUGCAGAAUUCAGUGAAUCAUCGAAUCUUUGAACGCACAUUGCGCCCGCCAGUAUUCUGGCGGGCAUGCCUGUUCGAGCGUCAUUUCAACCCUCAAGCACAGCUUGGUGUUGGGACUCGCGUUAAUUCGCGUUCCUCAAAUUGAUUGGCGGUCACGUCGAGCUUCCAUAGCGUAGUAGUAAAACCCUCGUUACUGGUAAUCGUCGCGGCCACGCCGUUAAACCCCAACUUCUGAAUGUUGACCUCGGAUCAGGUAGGAAUACCCGCUGAACUUAAGCAUAUCAAUAAGCGGAGG
rnacentral:rRNA from 1 species